UCCUGGUUAACCCAGGCAGUCUCACUAGAGUUCCCACCAUUACGUGCUGGCAACUAAUGAUAAGGGUUGCGCUCGUUGCGGGACUUAACCCAACACCUCACGGCACGAGCUGACGACAGCCAUGCAGCACCUGUGCAGAGACCCUUACGGGAGACGCUAUCUCUAGCGCUGUCCUCUGCAUGUCAAACCUGGGUAAGGUUCUUCGCGUUGCAUCGAAUUAAACCACAUGCUCCACUGCUUGUGCGGGUCCCCGUCAAUUCUUUUGAGUUUCACCCUUGCGAGCGUACUCCCCAGGCGGUAUACUUAUCGCGUUAGCUUCGGCACAGCCAGGGUUGAGUCCGGCUACACCAAGUAUACAUCGUUUACAGCAAGGACUAC
rnacentral:misc_RNA from 1 species